rnacentral:rRNA from 1 species
GGUCAAGUUAUUAAGGGUGCAGGGCGGAUGCCUUGGCACUAGGAGCCGAUGAAGGACGUGAUAAGCUGCGAUAAGCUUCGGGGAGUUGCACGUAAACUUUGAUCCGAAGAUUUCCGAAUGAGGAAACUCACUUAGAGUAAUGUCUAAGUAUCAUUAAGUGAAUACAUAGCUUAAUGAGGGGAACUCAGGGAACUGAAACAUCUAAGUACCUGAAGGAAGAGAAAGAAAUUCGAUUCCGUAAGUAGCGGCGAGCGAACGCGGAUUAGCCCAAACCAAUAAAGUUUUCUUUAUUGGGGUUGCGGACAUAUCAUAACGAAGAGGUAUCGUA